CAGGUAGAGGAAUGUCUGCGACUAAGCCGAGGGCCACUGGAUAAGGGUUGUUGAUGGUAAAACAGGUUAAAGACUACAUGAUACUUUGACAGAUGGCGGGAAACCCUCAUCCACUGGUACGAACCCGGUAGAGGAAUGUCUGCGACUAAGCCGAGGGCCACUGGAUAAGGGUUGUUGAUGGUAAAACAGGUUAAAGACUACAUGAUACUUUGACAGAUGGCGGGAAACCCUCAUCCACUGGUAGAGGAAUGUCUGCGACUAAGCCGAGGGCCACUGGAUAAGGGUUGUUGAUGGUAAAACAGGUAGAGGAAUGUCUGCGACUAAGCCGAGGGCCACUGGAUAAGGGUUGUUGAUGGUAAAACAGGUAGAGGAAUGUCUGCGACUAAGCCGAGGGCCACUGGAUAAGGGUUGUUGAUGGUAAAACAGGUAGAGGAAUGUCUGCGACUAAGCCGAGGGCCACUGGAUAAGGGUUGUUGAUGGUAAAACAGGUUAAAGACUACAUGAUACUUUGACAGAUGGCGGGAAACCCUCAUCCACUGGUACGAACCCGGUAAAUUGAUGGCUGUAAAACAGUGACCGCUGAUUCGCAUCGAGUUCUUUCUUGCAAAACGCAUGACCCCCCUUUUUUAUUGUCUAAAUCAUUGCGGCUUGGAAUGCUCUUUAAGAAAAGGUAUGGUUAUGGGGGUCUCUAUGCGCAAAAGUUUGACUUUAUUUUUUGUUGAAGUUAUUGCUUUUACAUUGAAUUUGUGUAGGAAAUCUUUUGGUAUAUUGUAACCUAUA